AACGGACGCUGGCGGCAGGCCUAACACAUGCAAGUCGAACGCUGUAGCAAUACAGAGUGGCAGACGGGUGAGUAACACGUGGGAAUCUUCCUAUCGGUACGGAAUAGCUCAGGGAAACUUGGGGUAAUACCGCAUACGCCCUUCGGGGGAAAGAUUUAUCGCCGAUAGAUGAGCCCGCGUCUGAUUAGCUAGUUGGUGAGGUAAUGGCUCACCAAGGCGACGAUCAGUAGCUGGUCUGAGAGGAUGACCAGCCACACUGGGACUGAGACACGGCCCAGACUCCUACGGGAGGCAGCAGUGGGGAAUAUUGGACAAUGGGCGCAAGCCUGAUCCAGCCAUGCCGCGUGAGUGACGAAGGUCUUCGGAUUGUAAAGCUCUUUUGGCGGGGACGAUAAUGACGGUACCCGCAGAAUAAGCCCCGGCUAACUUCGUGCCAGCAGCCGCAGUAA
rnacentral:rRNA from 1 species